GCGACGGUGGCGGAAUCGGUAGACGCGGCGGACCUAAAAUCCGCUUUACUCCCAUGGCCAAGACGCUGUGGGUAUGUGGGUUCGAGUCCCAGCUGUCGCA
rnacentral:tRNA from 1 species